rnacentral:lncRNA from 1 species
GAACAUGCCUUUUUGUCAAAAUACUUGAGAAUAUUAUCACGUGUAUAUGAAUCUGAGUGCAUUUUAGGUUUCUAUAUAUUUCAUAUCACAAUCAUGUUUCAUUGGAAACUGACAAUGGUUUGGUUAUGACUUUCUUCUUUAUUUGUUAAUUAAUGUUUUUUAUCCACACCCACGGUAGUUGCAAGCAUCAUUGCUUUCACUGUGGUAGUACGUUGCUAUUGUUUAUUAUUUUGAAUUCAUAUUGAUGAUUCCACACUAUACUAGUAUAUGAUGAUCUGAUGGAACUGUACUUGUAUUAGUUACACUAAAACCAGAUGAGUAACAAAGUCGUAUGUACUUUUGUUGU